rnacentral:rRNA from 1 species
AUGGUGUUUCCUGUAAAGUCUGAAGUUUUCAGUAGGCGGCAUUGGAACUCUGGAUGCCGACACUUCUCUUACUAUUCCAUUAUCUCAGUGGUAAUGAAAUCUGGCCCUGAUGGUCGUUUGAAAAAAAAAGGAAACCGUAUUAGAUGCCUCAAACUGUAUUACAUGGGCAUGGUGACGUUGGCAGCCAAACUGCAGAGGGUGGAAUGGAUCAUCAUCAUCAUGGCAAGUUCAAGCCAUUGGUCCGUCAAUUUGGAGCACAAGCCGCCAAUGGUCGAUGCCACUGGUGAAGAAAUCGUCUGA